UUUUGUAUUCUUGAACAUCAUUUAAAAGUAAUGAGGGAGAAGAAGAGGGGGACAGGGAAGUGUUAUGACAAAAAGUUCCACAGUGUGCUGAGAGCAGGAGACAGUAUACAGUUAGGGGACUUACUUUGAAAAAUUUCUCUUGCCUUUAGCAGCCAUUAGAGGUAAAAAUGUGUGCUUUUUAACCUUGAUGGGGUAGUGUGACAGAUGCAUGAUGGGGCAAGAUAGCACAGAUGGUCACCUAGAACUGGUUUUGCCUUUGGAUGUGUUAUUCUUGUUGUUGGGACCCAUGGCUGGGCAGCAUCCUGCUCCUCCAUUAGCAACACUCUUCUUUUGGACUCGCUUGCCAUCCCCAAGAGUGCAAGAGGCAAAGGUGAGAGGAAAGCUGACAAACAAGGAAAAUAAUCCCUUUGCCCACCCCUAGUGGAAACUCUGUUAGCUACAACAUGGCAGCUGAGAGAGAACAACUUAACCCAACCAAAUCUCUUUUAUUAUGUUCCUGUGUUUAUUUUUCCGCUGUAUUUAUGACUUUGCAUGUUGUUUUUGGUGUGGAAAGGACUCUAAAGCUGUAGAUAUGUGUUGUAAUUAUACAAAUUCCUCUGCAUGGAGUCUGUUAAAAAGAUUGAUCUAUUUUUAUGAGGACACACACAAAUACUCAUUUUGAUGGACCUCAUUGGCAUUUAUUGCAGGCCUGCCACUACUAAAAUUUAAAGCCAACCUUGUAAAUUUUAUGGAAACUACAUGCUGCAAUUAUUAGCCCGAAGACCUCCUGUCUCGCAGGAAUGAGUCAGAUUUUGCUUUCCACGUACACUGUGGUUUACACCUGAAAGAGAUUAGUGGGGACCACCAGUAGCUUGAAAACCUAAUCUCCAGUAUUUUGUUUCCAGUUUAGCUCUGAAAGAUACUCCAGGUGUUCUCAUUAAUUAGUCAUUGUAAGUCACUGUGUCACUAUUGUGCAUAGAACAGCUGUUUUCUCUGUGAACUUUUUCUGCAGGAGUGUUUUAAAUUAAAAGUUGUUUUAUAUACUUUUUAAUGUUUAGAAACAAUUCUUGUGGCUGCUGAAAAUGAACAAAACCAACCCCUAACAAAUCAGUUUAGGAAGACAAAUUCUUGAGUGUUUCCUGUAAUGGUGUAACUUUAUAGAGUUCUACCUGAGUGGAUGAGACAGCUAAACAUCAUAAGCAGAUCUUGACAUUUUUUUCUGUGGCAAAAUUCCCACUAAUAUUAAGAACUGGCUAUAAGUAUUAUAGACUGUACAUGUUAUACUUCCCCCAUUAUCUUAUUUUAUAGUGACAAACACUGAGGUGGACAGAGAUGAAGUGGAUUAAACCUACCAAUCCCACUAAUCAAGAGGGAAAAAUAAGAUUAAGGAUAGCUGAAUGAUAAGUCUUAAUAGUAUGCAGUUAAGAAUAGCUGAAUGAUAA
rnacentral:lncRNA from 1 species